rnacentral:rRNA from 1 species
GGCUCAGGAUGAACGCUAGCGGCAGGCUUAACACAUGCAAGUCGAGGGGCAGCAUGAGGUUAGCAAUAACUCUUGAUUGGCGACCGGCGCAAGGGUGCGUAACGCGUGAGCAACUUGCCCGUUUCUGGGGAAUAACCGGUGGAAACGCCGACUAAUACCCCAUAGUAUAGCGAAGAGGCAUCUUUUUGUUAUUAAAGAAUUUCGGAAACGGAUAGGCUCGCGUGACAUUAGCUAGAUGGCGGGGUAACGGCCCACCAUGGCGACGAUGUCUAGGGGUUCUGAGAGGAAGGUCCCCCACACUGGAACUGAGACACGGUCCAGACUCCUACGGGAGGCAGCAGUGAGGAAUAUUGGUCAAUGGUCUGACGACUGAACCAGCCAUGCCGCGUGAAGGAAACGGCCCUAUGGGUCUUAAACUUCUUUUGUAAGGGAGCAAUAAGCGCCACGUGUGGCGUGAUGAGAGUACCUUACGAAUAAGCAUCGGCUAACUCCGUG